ACCCCUCACUCUCGCUCGCUCGAUUGUAGUCCCUCUCAUAGAUCUCACUCUCGCUCACUCGAUUGCAGUCCCUUUCACAGAUCGAACUCUCUAGCUGUUCUUCAUCGAUCUCUGUUGCUCGAGGGCUUUGCUCUAGUUGUUCUUCAUCGAACUCGAACUCGAACUCGAACUCGAACUCGAUCUGUUCUUCAUCAAAUCCUAGAUCCAAAAUCGAUCUGUUCUUGAACCAGAUCGAUCUCUCUUGCUCGUAUCCCAGACACAAAUAAAGAAGCUUGGGGCAUAAUCUAAUGCUACAGACGAAGAGAUUAUCAUACAGAUUCUAGGGCCUGAGCGACUUGGUCGUGUUUGAACAUAUGGAUUGGGUCCUUCUCUGAAAAAUGUCUUUAGAGGCGGAUAUAGGCAAUCACAAGAACAAACUCGUAUCAUCCAAAUGCAAGUCCAAGAGUAACUUAACCAAUAUAAAGCACAAACGGAGAUGCAAAUGAAGGAGAUUAUGGAUGCUAUGCUUAAUCAACAGAAAGUACAAAUGGAGAUGGAAAGCACAAUCCAAGCUCAACAAGCACGAAUAGAGCAAUAGGAGUCUCAACAGGCCAUGGGUGGCCUGUUGCACCAGCUGCUACACAUAUGCAUUCACAGCAUCAAUCCCAUGCAUACACCUCAUCAUUUAAUUGCCAUCGUUUGUCCGAGAAAGUUCACAUAUCAAAGAAAGAAAAGAAGAAGAAUAAGAAGAAGUAGAUGUAACAUACUCAAUGAAAGAAGGCUGCUAGAGUCUACUGAAUUCAAGGUUAGAACUGUUCCUAAUUUUAGUUUAUUUGUGAAUUUUAUUUUAUUAAUGAAAGGUGUCUCUGUUUUGUAGUUUGUUUUUUGUCUGUCAUGGUUUGAAACUUCAUUUUGAGAUUUUGUUUUGCUUAGAUUACUUGAUUCAACUUGACAAGCCUUAAUUCCAAUUACUCGGGGUUGAUUACACCCUGCAUAUAUCCAUAACUUUUUACUCAGCUUUACGUAGAGCUAGUGUGUUCUGAGUUUUGACUAGAUAAAAGGUUUGUAAUAUUCUGGAAACCCAACAACGUUGGGGUUACCAUUGGGGAUAUGUUAAAACGUUAGAAAAAUUAUUUGGUUUGUAAUUUCAAGGACCUUCGGGUAAUUAUGUGAUUCAGCCAUCCUAACGCACAAUUAGCACACAUUGUAGUCAGGUACGUAAUAUGAAUCAUAGUUUAUAAUCAUUAUUUAUAUACUUAUUAACAUCUUAUUUUGUUGUUCUUGGUCCAAGGUUUUCAAUCUAAAUAUUGGUGCUAAUUGGCAUACACCUACAAAUAUUGAACACCUUGGAGACAAGCCGACAACUCAGGUGGAAGUUUGGGUUGAUGUGACCAGUUGUGAGAAGUAGCUUUUGGAACUUCUUGAUGUAGUGAACUACUAUUAGAGUAUUGUGUAUUGUUGUUAGAUUAGCUACUAGUUGUUAAUUUGUAUCGGUGCUUAAAGCUGUUAAUUUGUAUUGGUACUUUGGAUUGAACAGUAUGUUAUCUUUGCUUCAUUGGCAUGUAUUGUUGCAAAAGCAACUGAUGGGAAUUGAGCUGGUCUGUUUUUUCAGUUUUAUAUGAUAACACACACACACAUAA